UACGUAGGGUGCGAGCGUUAAUCGGAAUUACUGGGCGUAAAGCGUGCGCAGGCGGUUAUGUAAGACAGUUGUGAAAUCCCCCGGGCUCAACCUGGGAACUGCAUCUGUGACUGCAUAGCUAGAGGUACGGUAGAGGGGGAUGGAAUUCCGCGUGUAGCAGUGAAAUGCGUAGAUAUGCGGAGGAACACCGAUGGCGAAGGCAAUCCCCUGGACCUGUACUGACGCUCAUGCACGAAAGCGUGGGGGAGCAAACAGG
rnacentral:rRNA from 1 species